GCCAGGCGUGGUGGCGGGCACCUGUAAUCCCAGCUACUUGGGAGGCUGAGGCAGGAGAAUGGCGUGAACCUGGGAGGCGGAGCUUGCAGUGAGCCGAGAUUGCACCACUGCACUCCAGCCUGGGUGACAGAGCGAGACUCCAUCUGAAAAAAAAAAAAAAAAAAGAAAAGGAGUCUCGCUGUGUUGCCCUGGCUGGAGUGCAGUGUCAUGAUCUCGGCUCACUGCAGCCUCCACCUGCCGGGUUCAAUUGAUUCUCCUGCCUCAC
rfam:Pan troglodytes isolate Yerkes chimp pedigree #C0471 (Clint) chromosome 2A, whole genome shotgun sequence.